GCGGUCGUGGCGGAAUUGGUAGACGCGCAGCGUUGAGGUCGCUGUCCGGGAAACCGGGUGGAAGUUCGAGUCUUCUCGACCGCACCA
rnacentral:tRNA from 4 species